UUGCAAUGUUUUUUUGAAAGUUUCAGUCUGAAACUUUCAGAUUGAAGUUAAAAUUUCUUCAGAAUUUUUCAGAACUUAUAAAAAAAAUUAGCUAAAUCUGUGUUUCAUAAUCCUUACCAUUCAACCAAUUAAGUAACUUUUGUUGUUCGUACUUUUGAUUACUAUGCUGGUUGAUUAUCUUUUAACAACUAAUGCUUUUUACUCAACAGAUCAAGAAUCAAAGUCACGAGUGUGGCUUUAAAUGGACUUAAGUAGCUUUCUUUAUACUAUAAGUUACAAGAGCAAAUGCUGCUAAAAAUCAUUAUCGAAUGCAUUUGAUGCUCAAAUGAGCAGUAUUUUAUCGCAGCCACAACCAAAAAUUGUUGACAAUGACCUGAUAUCCUUUAAACUGUGCCUGUGCACUUGUUUAAACUUGCUCAAUUUCAGCUGAUUAUUUCAUCAUCCAAUGAUCUGGAUUCAGACUGUCUGCAUUCUCCUGGUUAGCUAAUUUCAGAUGCCAAAAAUGAUUCAACUUGGAGCAAGCUGCUUGAUAUUAAGCACUCCGAUCUCGACUUUUCAUAAUACCUGUCAUUCGUCAUUUUCGGAUUAUUACGUUAUCAGUGGAUUGGAUAAAUAAUGGCGAUUAUUAGGCGAGAAAAAGUCAACAUGUACAAUUCACUGAACGAAUGUAAUAACCGUCGCUGUACAAAUUAACAAACAAAAGGAUUGCUUUCAACUCAAUUUGGAAAGAUUUUCAUAUUCAUCUGCAGACAACGAAAAUAAAAUUCUAUCCAAAGCAUUACAAUCUAAAUCUUGAUGGGAAUCAAAAAUCACACCAUUCUUUGCACAGAAAAAAGUUCCAUAUGUUUUCAACGAACCUUUCAUAUUGAUGGUUUUGCAAUUAACAAACAGUCUCGCAGUUCAAAAAAAUUUGACUUCUUAAAGUUAUAUUUGUCCAUCACAGUAUAAUAAAGAAGAUCGUAGAAAGCUUAACAAUGAACUUAAAAUAAAAUAAAAUAAAGUUAAAUAUUUCAAGUGCAAACGCUCAACAUAACAAAACUGCUUAACGACCACAAAAAAAUAAUAGUGAUUGACUCGAAAGAAUACAAGACAUUUCGAUUCAUAUUUUCGGUAGUUGAGUCAUUUAGUCAAUGUAGAGUUCACAAGCAACUUUGAUUAAAUAGCUUAAUUAGUAAGCUUGUGCAUACGCAUUGAUGCUUUGGCUCCAAUAUUUGAUCAUGGCUGUGACUAGACUUUUUUCCAAACAAAUAUUCACACCACUAUCCUCUUAAGGAAACCUUUCUUCUAAAAAAGUAAGAGAGAAAGUAAGAGUAAGUCGAGAAAGAAAGAGUGAAAACGUUUCCUUAAGAGAAUAGUG